GUGAUUCUAUUCUUUCCCAGCCUGUAGGUAAGCCUUCUUUUUCAAGAGGAUGAGACCAAUGAGUAGUUUUUGUAUUGUGAUCUAUAUAAUAUUUUCUACCUCUAAGAGUGAAGUCCACAGACCAUCCAGGAGGUGGAGUUUCUUUCUUGACAUAUUUACCAACAACUCCUUCUUUAAUUGUUCUUAAAUCCUUAUUUUUUCGAGACAACAUAAUGGAAUAAAUAUUUGAUCGAACGACAAACCAAUAAAUCUUCGAUAUUUAUAACCUACAGUCACGAUAUUAUAUUCGUAAAAUUAAUGAAAGUGUAUUCCAAACGUAUAAUGAUGUGGUCAAAAAUAACAAAUUAUUCAUUUUAUAUAUUUGUAUAAAUUUGUUUUAAUAAAGACUCAAGAUUAUUAAAAAUUGCUUAAUUAAAUUAACUAUAUUACUUGUCACAUGCAUAUGUCUUUUCAUAAUAUGAACGUUCGAAAAAAAAA